rnacentral:rRNA from 1 species
AGAGUUUGAUCCUGGCUCAGGAUGAACGCUAGCUACAGGCUUAACACAUGCAAGUCGAGGGGAAACGAUAUUGGAAGCUUGCUUCCGAUAGGCGUCGACCGGCGCACGGGUGAGUAACGCGUAUCCAACCUGCCCACCACUUGGGGAUAACCUUGCGAAAGUAAGACUAAUACCCAAUGAUAUCUCUAGAAGACAUCUGAAAGAGAUUAAAGAUUUAUCGGUGAUGGAUGGGGAUGCGUCUGAUUAGCUUGUUGGCGGGGUAACGGCCCACCAAGGCGACGAUCAGUAGGGGUUCUGAGAGGAAGGUCCCCCACAUUGGAACUGAGACACGGUCCAAACUCCUACGGGAGGCAGCAGUGAGGAAUAUUGGUCAAUGGACGAGAGUCUGAACCAGCCAAGUAGCGUGAAGGAUGACUGCCCUAUGGGUUGUAAACUUCUUUUAUAUGGGAAUAAAGUUGUCCACGUGUGGAUUUUUGUAUGUACCAUAUGAAUAAGGAUCGGCUAACUCCGUGCCAGCAGCCGCGGUAAUACGGAGGAUCCGAGCGUUAUCCGGAUUUAUUGGGUUUAAAGGGAGCGUAGGCGGAUUGUUAAGUCAGUUGUGAAAGUUUGCGGCUCAACCGUAAAAUUGCAGUUGAUACUGGCAGUCUUGAGUGCAGUAGAGGUGGGCGGAAUUCGUGGUGUAGCGGUGAAAUGCUUAGAUAUCACGAAGAACUCCGAUUGCGAAGGCAGCUCACUGGAGUGUAACUGACGCUGAUGCUCGAAAGUGUGGGUAUCAAACAGGAUUAGAUACCCUGGUAGUCCACACAGUAAACGAUGAAUACUCGCUGUUUGCGAUAUACAGUAAGCGGCCAAGCGAAAGCGUUAAGUAUUCCACCUGGGGAGUACGCCGGCAACGGUGAAACUCAAAGGAAUUGACGGGGGCCC